CCUACGGGCGGCAGCAGUGGGGAAUAUUGGACAAUGGGGGCAACCCUGAUCCAGCCAUGCCGCGUGUGUGAAGAAGGCCCUCGGGUUGUAAAGCACUAUCAGUGAGGAAGAACGCCUGGUGGUUAAUACCCAUCAGGAAAGACAUCACUCACAGAAGAAGCACCGGCUAACUCCGUGCCAGCAGCCGCGGUAAUACGGAGGGUGCGAGCGUUAAUCGGAAUUACUGGGCGUAAAGCGCGCGUAGGUGGCUUGAUAAGCCGGUUGUGAAAGCCCCGGGCUCAACCUGGGAACGGCAUCCGGAACUGUCAAGCUAGAGUGCAGGAGAGGAAGGUAGAAUUCCCGGUGUAGCGGUGAAAUGCGUAGAGAUCGGGAGGAAUACCAGUGGCGAAGGCGGCCUUCUGGACUGACACUGACACUGAGGUGCGAAAGCGUGGGUAGCAAACAGGAUUAGAUACCCUUGUAGUC
rnacentral:rRNA from 1 species